CGGCGGCUGGCGGGGCUGGAAGGGGCCACACAGGAACAACAGCAGCAGCAGCAGCAGCAGCGGCCGCCAUUGGAUGCGCCGCAAGUGCCGGGUCGACCCGCCCCGGCUGGAGUACCGCUGCAUGCCCCGUCAGCACUGGUGGCGGCGCAUGCAGCAAUCGCAGCCGCCAGAGCUGAUAGCGCGGCGGAGGUGGUGGUGGCGGCGGCGUCUGGGUUCAUGUCAGCGACUGCGGGGGGUUGCCCGGGGGGGGACGGCGCAGCUGACACCCCCGGCGCCGGCGCCCGGCUGCUCGCCGCCGCCCGCCAGGCGGUGAUGCGGCUGCGGGAUAUGCCCCGUGAUGGGCAGGUCGCCAGGGCCGGCAGGUAGCACAGGGUCCUUUCCUCACCUGUUAGGUUAGCCUGUUAGGUUUCCCAAUACUGUGAUAGGCGGUGUUGUAGGGUGGGGGCGCGGCACACAUGCUGUGUGCAGGACGUGCCCUGAUGGCAUGUGGGACAGAGGGGCCGGUCUGGUCGGUCGUUGUGUUCGCCGCCCCCCUGGCCCUCCCCCCUCCUGCUUUUCUUCCGCUCUUAUUUUAGUCUUGGCGGCUAGGUAGGUAGGUAGGUUUCCGCGGUCGUCAUCAUCUCGAGGUCAGCUCCUUCAAUCCGCCGACUGGUCAGCUCUGCUUCUCUUUCCUUGGCGGCAGCUUCACUCGCUCGUGGUUCGUCUUUCCCCCCUCCCCAGCUGCUGCUGCUGCUACUGCUGCUGCGUGUACCGGUGCUGCUUGCCUUGGCAGUGGUGGCCACCGUACGUUACCCCCCCUACAUGUCCCUCUCUAUAUAUAUGUAAUAUGUACCGUACAUAUCUAUGUGUGUGUUGCACCUAACCUAAACCCGUAAUAAAUACGGUAGUGCUUUUUGUGACGGUGUGCCGCUGUUGGCGCUGUUGGCGCUGCCGCAGGACGUUGUUGAGGCGGGAGGUGGUGGAAGCUUCCAGACGUCUGGCGGCGGGAGGGCGGCGUGGAGGUGGGGACGCAGGGGCCUCCUGCGGUGAGCGACUGGCUGGCCUCACCCCGCCACCCCGACCCGUCCAGACUCCCAACCACGUACAUGCAAAGUAUUACAUCAUUAUUGGCCUCACGUGCAGCUUCCGCGUGAAUCCUUUGUGUUCCUUUUAGAGGAUACAGCUCCACUGCGCACUUUACCUACCAUGUAUGUGCAUCACAAGCGAACGAGGGUUCGUUGCCUACAGCACUCCCUUGCCUACAGCAAACAUAAUAUAUCGUACAUACCCGUUUGCCGUACUUCCCUAACCCCCCCUUAUUCUCGUACUUAUCACGCGCUCUGGUGAGCGGUCUUUUCGCCUCUGUCGCACAAAGCUGUGCACUGUUUUAAUUGUUUUCAAGCUAACUCAAUUGGUAAUGGCCUUCAUUAAUAUUGGCCUGGACGACAGUACGCAAGCAUACACACACACAUAUCCUUUCGGGACACAUAUCCUAAUUUUCAUCAGUUAAACUGCCACCUUUGGUGUCCAUCCUUGUCCCACAUGCCCCACACCUGCCCACGUUCGGUUUAGGAGGGCCUGCGGGCGCUCAGGCGCUGGAAGGCGUACGGAAGUACCGGCAUCUGUACGGCCUCGUCCUGGACGAGUGGUGUGCCCGGCUGAGCCCCAAAGGCCCCUCCGCCGGAU
rnacentral:lncRNA from 1 species